rnacentral:tRNA from 1 species
GCACUCGUAGCUCAAUGGAUAGAGCAUUUGACUACGGAUCAAAAGGUUGUAGGUUCGACUCCUGCCGGGUGCACCA